rnacentral:lncRNA from 1 species
UGACUGAUUCGAUGCACAAAUAAACAUUGUAAUACAGGUAAAACGAUGAUAAACAUUUAUUUUUUAUCUGUAAUAUGAAAUUAAAUAGACCUAGAAUAAUUUAACAGUACGUGUUUGCUUAAUCUAUUUAUGUCUUUAUUUAUGUUUACAUCGCUUAUAUGGUCAUCGAAUGACUAUAGAGGUCAACUCGAUAAAUAAUUAGAUGGCGUCUAGACUCAAAUACACACGAAACGAAGCUACGUAUUUUCAUGCCUGUGCCUUGUUUAUUGUUUUAUUUA